GAUGAACGCUGGCGGCGUGCCUAAUACAUGCAAGUCGAGCGAACAGACGAGGAGCUUGCUCCUUUGACGUUAGCGGCGGACGGGUGAGAAACACGUGGUUAACCUACCUAUAAGUCGGGGAUAAUUUCGGGAAACCGGAGCAAAUCCCGGAUAAUAUUCCGAACCGCAGGGUUCGAUAGUGAAAUAUGGCUUUUCUGUCACGUAUAGAUGGAUCUGGGCCGUAUUAGCUAGUUGGUAAGGUAACGGCUUAUCAAGGCGACGAUGCGUAGCCGACCUGAGAGGGUGGUAGGCCACACGGGAACGGGAACGGGGUCCAGAGGCCUACGAGAGGCAGCAGAAGGGAACGGGCGGCAGUGGGGGAGAGCCUGACGGAACGGCGCGACGUGAGAGAUGAAGGUCCUGGGAUCGGAAUACCCGGUUAUGGGGGAAAAACAGACGUGGAAGGAGCUGAGCACGGCGUGACGGUAACGGGUCAGGAAGCCACGGCUAACUACGUG
rnacentral:rRNA from 1 species